CUAAUACACAAAUGUAAUUUCUUUCAGAUUCUUGUGCACAUGUCCUCUAAUCCAACCUAAUGUUAGGAGCGUUAAACUUCUACAGGAUUCCUUCACGCCUAAUAUGGACCAGGCGAUGAAAAUUGUGUAUUGGGAUUAUUAAAUAGUAGUUGUAGUAGUUUUCUUUGUUAAAUGGGGUUACAAAAUUUAAAUAGAUAUUGUUUGGAUUG